AGAAACGUGUCCAUCUGAAACUCUUGAGGGGGAUGUUCUAGGGGUUGUUACAUUUGGAUUUGUUGGUUGGGGAGAAGAAAUACACGAGGGUGAGAUGGGUGAAUUUUGUAACUAUGAAGGAGAUUGUGGUGGGGGUAUCUGUUGUUGUUAUGACAAAGGUGCAGAAACUAAAGGAGUUUCUGUGAUAGGACUGAUAAAAGUUGAUUAUGGUGGUGGA
rnacentral:lncRNA from 1 species